UUACAUUAUGUUAAGGAAUAUUAUGUUAUGAAUGCAAAACAAUUUUAACAUGCUGCGAGAUUUGAAAACUGGUGCAUUUGUAGAAUAUUUUUCCAGUCUAAAUCAACAUGAUCAGAGUUCUCCUUGUCUUGCUAUUUUUGCAUACAGGUUCUGUUGGCAGUGUUCAGCAAAGCCCCUCAAAUCUAAUAAAAUCAGAGAAAGACAAUGCAGAACUGGUAUGUGAACACAGCAUAGCAACCUACACUAUGAUUUUCUGGUACAAGCAAACACAAACAAACCAUGGAUUUACAUUACUGGGAUAUAUCUGGAAUAAAAACUACUUUCCAGAGGAUAAUUUUAGUAAAAAAAUCCAGCUGGAUGGAGAUGGAGCCAAGAAUGGUUCCUUAAAAAUCCUCCAACUUGAAGCCAGUGACAGUGCAAUGUACUACUGUGCAGCUAGUUUC
ensembl:lncRNA